UCUUCAAGAUUUUCCAUAAUAAUUUCUUGAUUCUUGUCUUUAUAUUUUUUUCCAACAUCUACGUUAGCCCUAACCAACAUCAAAUCCAAAGUCCAAAAAAUUUCUUCAAUUUUUCCUUCAAUCUUCAAUGGCGGAUUGGUCUGCUUUCCCUGCCGACCUCCUCCACCUCAUCUCACUGCUCCUACCCGCCUCAAUCGACGUUAUCCGCAUCCGCUCAGUCUGCGGAAACUGGCGCGCCGCCGUCCCUCCGCCACCUCCUUCCUCCGGCCGCUUCCCCGCCAUCCCCAAUUCCGGGAUCUCCGAAACCAGUUGGGGAUUCCACCUCACGAAACGCACAAUCUAUUCCCUCCGAUCACCGCUUCCCGAUCAAUCCUCAUGGAUCAUCAAAUUGGAUGGGGACAAAAUGCAUCUCUUCAACCCGCUCGAUCGAUCUCAGUUACAGUCCUCCCCGAAGCUAUUCAAUUUCUUCGACAUUGGAGUAAGAGUUUUGGUGGAGGAUUACGCGCUGCAGCAUAUCAAUUUCAGGCCGACGUCGAGCUCAAUUGGGGAUGCUGAGAAUCUCUACAUGGAGAAAGUCGCCGUGUUGAACAACGGUAGCAGCGGCGGUUUCGUGCUCUUGACGAUUCACGUUUCCGGUAAAUUGGCGGUGUAUAAGUCCGGCGACGAUAAAUGGAGGCUAAUUGAUGGUUCGCUUUCGCCCUACGAUGACGUCAUCCUUUGGAAGGGGAAAUUCUACGCAGUCGAUACCACUGGUCAAAUUGUUGUUGUCAACACUGAUGAUAUGAAUGUGAGUGUUGCUGCGAGAUCAACUUUCGGUGGUGAUAAGAAAUUGCUUGUGGAUUGUGAUGGAGAAUUGUUGAUGGUGGAUAUGCAUUUGGGUCUUAAGCCGGCUGAUGACCUAGGUUUCAACGAUGGGCUCGAUUUUUAUGAGGACUUUAGUUCGUAUACGAGAGAAACCCCUGUGAAAAUUAAGGUGUUUAGGCUGUAUGAUCAAGCUAGGAAAUGGGUUAAGAUUAGUGAUUUAGGGGACACAAUGCUCUUCUUGGGUGAUAAUUGCGCAUUUUCAGCUUCGGCUGGAGAGGUUUUUGGUGAUGAGAAAUGCAGGGGGAACUGCAUAUUCUUUAUCGACCAGCAUUGCAAUAGGGAAGACGAGGAGGGGCUGAUGGCUAGCUGUGUUGGAGUGUAUGAUUUGGAGAGCGGGAGCAUUGGGCCCGUUGAUGGCUAUUCGGAGAUAUUUUGGCCCCCUCCCGAUUGGCUUUAUUCAACAGCGGCUGUAGAAAUGAUAUUUGCUUGUGAUCAGCAAUGUACUGAUGCUGAUGAUCGAAUUGAGGGCGUGGAGAGAGGUCGUUAGCUGUCGUUUAGGUCUUGAGCUUUGAUGUGGUUAUGUGUGGCAUUGCUUUAAACACGUGGUUUUAUGAGACGAGUAGGAGAAAAGUAGAGAUCAUUGCUAGCCGGCCUAUUUGGUUGGGAUGAAUCAAAUGAAUAUAUGAUGCUGGAAAGGUGAUAAGCAAACUGCCUACGAAGAAUGUGGAGAUGUGCCAUGCCAUGCCAUGCCACUCAAUAAUCACUAUUAGUGUGGGUGCUUCUGUUAUUUUCUAUCAGCGUUGGUAACUCACAUCUCCGUGCUUUUCUUCUCACCUGAAUCCUGAUAUAUCCAUGGUGCUGAUCGACCUCUUAGGAUUUUACAAUUAGUAAUUUUCAGUUUUCUACCGUUAGCAUUGUUAGAAGUUUGAACAAAAAUAUGGUUUAAAAUUAUUUGCUGUUUUCAAUAUUUGAAGUAUAUUACUUGCAUCA